UUCAGUAAAUUAUCUGGUAACACUAGCGGUUUUUUUUCCCGCGGAAACUGAUAACGUGACUCUAAAUGUUGCCGCGAAAGAUGCUUCUGGGACGCCAUAUUGGUUUUUUGGUUCGUGCCGAAGGUUGAUGUCUAAUUCCCUAAUGGCCCAAUUUAAUUUAAAGGGAAAUAAAGGGAGGCGGUCCAUAAUGGACUUAGAAAUUUACAAAGUUGUCCGAGAUAGUGUAAUGAUCAGUCAGCCGAGCUGCAAUGAAGCCGAGAUAAUAACAGCAGUUUCGGCUCAUCUAAAAUAUGAGCCGGACAGAAGAGGGACCAAUUAAGUACAUGUACAGUUUAAAUUUGUUUAUUACAUGUCAUAUUUUAUUAUAAUCUUUAUAAGCCAUUUUAAGUUCUUUUAUCAUCCAUUUAAUUUUAUUUUAUUUUCUAUGUGUGAUGUCCACAAAAUGUUAACUGCGCCAUUGAGCAUUGAGUGUUUUAUAUUGGUAAUAGGCGCAUUAUAAAUAAUAAAUUAUUAUUAUUAUUACAGUACCAAUUGCAUUAAAAUUACUUUCUCAUUUUUAGCAAUAUCAUUCAUUACCCAUUACAUUGAAAGUAAAUAAUUACAUUUUAUUACUAUUUAAAGAUUAGUGCUAAUUUAGCAUUUAAUCAAUCAGAUUUAAAGACAUGCAUACCAUUGGAUAGUUC